GGUGGUGUAGUAUAGCGGUCAGUACAUGCCGUGACAGUGAAAUCACGACCUGACUCCGACAGCAGAUGGGAAGUACCUUCACCCGAUGGCAAGUUCCUUGGUUCAAGUCCAGGUACCACCA